rnacentral:rRNA from 1 species
UACGUAGGUGGCAAGCGUUGUCCGGAUUUACUGGGCGUAAAGAGCGCGCAGGCGGUCGUUCAAGUCGCGUGUGAAAGCCCCCGGCUCAACUGGGGAGGGUCACGCGAUACUGAUCGACUCGAAGGCAGGAGAGGGUAGUGGAAUUCCCGGUGUAGUGGUGAAAUGCGUAGAGAUCGGGAAGAACAUCAGUGGCGAAGGCGGCCUGCUGGGCCGUUGCUGACGCUGAGGCGCGACAGCGUGGGGAGCAAACAGG